AUGAACGCUGGCGGCGUGCCUAAUACAUGCAAGUCGCGCGAACAGACGAGGAGCUUGCUCCUUUGACGUUAGCGGCGGACGGGUGAGUAACACGUGGAUAACCUACCUAUAAGACUGGGAUAACUUCGGGAAACCGGAGCUAAUACCGGAUAACAUGUUGAACCGCAUGGUUCAACAGUGAAAGACGGUCUUGCUGUCACUUAUAGAUGGAUCCGCGCCGCAUUAGCUAGUUGGUAAGGUAACGGCUUACCAAGACAACGAUGCGUAGCCGACCUGAGAGGGUGAUCGGCCACACUGGAACUGAGACACGGUCCAGACUCCUACGGGAGGCAGCAGUAGGGAAUCUUCCGCAAUGGGCGAAAGCCUGACGGAGCAACGCCGCGUGAGUGAAGAAGGUCUUCGGAUCGUAAAACUCUGUUAUUAGGGAAGAACAAAUGUGUAAGUAACUAUGCACGUCUUGACGGUACCUAAUCAGAAAGCCACGGCUAACUACGUG
rnacentral:rRNA from 1 species